CGCUAGCUACAGGCUUAACACAUGCAAGUCGAGGGGCAGCAUGGUCUUAUCUUGCUAAGGCCGAUGGCGACCGGCGCACGGGUGAGUAACACGUAUCCAACCUGCCGUCUACUCUUGGACAGCCUUCUGAAAGGAAGAUUAAUACAAGAUGGCAUCAUGAGUCCGCAUGUUCACAUGAUUAAAGGUAUUCCGGUAGACGAUGGGGAUGCGUUCCAUUAGAUAGUAGGCGGGGUAACGGCCCACCUAGUCUUCGAUGGAUAGGGGUUCUGAGAGGAACGUCCCCCACAUUGGAACUGAGACACGGUCCAAACUCCUACGGGAGGCAGCAAUGAGGAAUAUUGGUCAAUGGGCGAGAGCCUGAACCAGCCAAGUAGCGUGAACGAUGACUGCCCUAUGGGUUGUAAACUUCUUUUAUAAAGGAAUAAAGUCGGGCAUGGAUACCCGUUUGCAUGUACUUAAUGAAUAAGGAUCGGCUAACUCCGUGCCAGCAGCCGCGAUAAUACGGAGGAUCCGAGCGUUAUCCGGAUUUAUUGGGUUUAAAGGGAGCGUAGAUGGAUGUUUAAGUCAGUUGUGCAAGUUUGCCGGCUCAACCGUAAAAUUGCAUUUGAUACUGGAUAUCUUGAGUGCAGUUUAGGCAGGCGGAAUUCGUGGUGUAGCUGUGAAAUGCUUAGAUAUCACGAAGAACUCCGAUUGCGAAGGCAGCCUGCUAAGCUGCAACUGACAUUGAGGCUCGAAAGUGUGGGUAUCAAACAGGAUUAGAUACCCUGGUAGUCCACACGGUAAACGAUGAAUACUCGCUGUUUGCGAUAUACUGCAAGCGGCCAAGCGAAAGCGUUAAGUAUUCCACCUGGGGAGUACGCCGGCAACGGUGAAACUCAAAGGAAUUGACGGGGGCCCGCACAAGCGGAGGAACAUGUGGUUUAAUUCGAUGAUACGCGAGGAACCUUACCCGGGCUUAAAUUGCAGAUGAAUUACGGUGAAAGCCGUAAGCCGCAAGGCAUCUGUGAAGGUGCUGCAUGGUUGUCGUCAGCUCGUGCCGUGAGGUGUCGGCUUAAGUGCCAUAACGAGCGCAACCCUUGUUGUCAGUUACUAACAGGUUUUGCCGAGGACUCUGACAAGACUGCCAUCGUAAGAUGUGAGGAAGGUGGGGAUGACGUCAAAUCAGCACGGCCCUUACGUCCGGGGCUACACACGUGUUACAAUGGGGGGUACAGAGGGCCGCUACCACGCGAGUGGAUGCCAAUCCCCAAAACCUCUCUCAGUUCGGACUGGAGUCUGCAACCCGACUCCACGAAGCUGGAUUCGCUAGUAAUCGCGCAUCAGCCACGGCGCGGUGAAUACGUUCCCGGGCCUUGUACACACCGCCCGUCAAGCCAUGGGAGCCGGGGGUACCUGAAGUGCGUAACCGCGAGGAGCGCCCUAGGGUAAAACUGGUGACUGG
rnacentral:rRNA from 1 species